rnacentral:rRNA from 1 species
GACGAACGCUGGCGGCGUGCUUAACACAUGCAAGUCGAACGGAAAGGCCCUGCUUGCAGGGUACUCGAGUGGCGAACGGGUGAGUAACACGUGGGUUAUCUGCCCUGCACUUCGGGAUAAGCCUGGGAAACUGGGUCUAAUACCGGAUAGUAGCCAUUUUUAGUGUGAUGGUUGGAAAGUUUUUUCGGUGUAGGAUUAGCUCGCGGCCUAUCAGCUUGUUGGUGGGGUAAUGGCCUACCAAGGCGGCGACGGGUAGCCGGCCUGAGAGGGUGGACAGCCACAUUGGGACUGAGAGACGGCCCAGACUCCGACGGGAGGCAGAAGGGGGGAAUAUUGCACAAUGGGCGCAAGCCUGAUGAAGAGACGCCGCGUGGGGGAUGACGGCCUUCGGGUUGUAAACUCCUUUCGCUAGAGACGAAGCUGUUUGUGACGGUACCUAGAGAAGAAGCACCGGCUAACUACGUG